rnacentral:rRNA from 1 species
GACGAACGCUGGCGGCAGGCUUAACACAUGCAAGUCGCACGAGAACGCUCUGGCUUCGGCCGGGGCAAGUACAGUGGCGGACGGGUGCGUAUCGCGUAGAUAACCUGCCCUCAGGCGCGGGACAACCACGGGAAACCGUGGCUAAUACCGCACGUCGUCUGGACCCCGCAUGGGGACCAGAUGAAAGCCUUCGGGCGCCUUUGCACGGUUCUACGUUGGAUUAUCUUGUUGGUGAGUUAGCGGCUCACCAGCGCAACGAUGCAUAGAUGGUCUGAUAGGACGAUCAGCCAAUCUGGCACUGAGACACUGACCCAACUCCUACAGUACGCAGCAAUGGGGAAUCGUGCACUCUGGGGUCACCCCUGAUGCCCCCAUGCCGCGUGGACGAAUACACCCCUAUGGGGCGUAGGCUCCUUUUCUCAUUUACUAAACCCCUGUACGUUCGUGGCUCCACGGUACUUCAGGAAUUCACGCCUGCUCACUCCCUGCCUCCAUCCCCGCUACUACGGAAGGUGCGAGCGUUGUCCCGAAUCCCUGAGUGUCUGGGGUGCGCAGGCGGGGCAGCAGGUCAGAUGUGAAAACCCGUGGCUCCACCGUGCAGGUGCGUUCGUGCCUGUUGCUCUUGAGUCCCGGAGAGGCUGUCGGAAUUCGUGGUGUAGCGGUGAAAUGCGUAGAUAUCACGAGGAACACCAGAGGCGAAAGCGGGCAGCUGGACGGGUACUGACGCUCAGGCACGAAAGCGUGGGGAGCAAACAGGAUUAGAUACCCUGGUAGUCCACGCCGUAAACGAUGAACGCUCGCCGUUGCCCCGCUCAAGGGGCAGUGGCUAAGUUAACGCGAUAAGCGUUCCACCUGGGGAGUACGAUCGCAAGGUUGAAACUCAAAGGAAUUGACGGGGGCCCGCACAAGCGGUGGAGCAUGUGGCUCAAUUCGAUGCAACGCGAAGAACCUUACCUAGGCUCGAACGCUAGAGGACCGCUCCUGAAAGGGAGCUUCCCCUUUGGGGCUUCUAGCGAGGUACUGCAUGGCUGUCGUCAGCUCGUGUCGUGAGAUGUUGGGUUAAGUCCCGCAACGAGCGUAACCCCUGUUGCUAGUUACCAUCGGGUAAUGCCGGGGACUCUAGCGAAACUGCCUGCGCAAGCAGUGAGGAAGGUGGGGAUGACGUCAAGUCAUCAUGGUCCUUACGCCUAGGGCUGCACACGUGCUACAAUGGCCGGUACAACGGGUAGCCACCUCGCGAGAGGGAGCGAAUCCCUGAAAACCGGUCCCAGUUCGGAUUGGAGUCUGCAACUCGACUCCAUGAAGCAGGAAUCGCUAGUAAUCGCGGAUCAGCAAUGCCGCGGUGAAUCCGUUCCCGGGCCUUGUACACACCGCCCGUCAAGCCAUGGAAGCUGAGAGCACCCGAAGUCCGUGACUCAACUCCGGCCUCGCGCCGGAGGGAGAGCGGCCGAAGGUGAGUUCAGUGACUGGGGCU